AGUGGUCAAGCUAAUAAGAGCUGACGGUGGAUACCUAGGCACACAGAGGCGAAGAAGGACGUGGUUACCGACGAAAUGCUCCGGGGAGUUGGAAGCAAACAUUGAGCCGGAGAUAUCCGA
rnacentral:rRNA from 1 species